rnacentral:rRNA from 1 species
CCUGUUUCUUGGUGGCGAGUGGCGGACGGGUGAGUAAUAUAUCGGGACCUGCCCAAUAGAGGGGGAUAACUACUCGAAAGAGUGGCUAAUACCGCAUACGGCCUACGGGAGAAAGCAGGGGCCCUUCGGGCCUUGCACUAUUGGAGUGGCCGAUAUCGGAUUAGCUAGUUGGUGGGGUAAAGGCCUACCAAGGCGACGAUCCGUAGCUGGUUUGAGAGGACGACCAGCCACACUGGGACUGAGACACGGCCCAGACUCCUACGGGAGGCAGCAGUGGGGAAUUUUGGACAAUGGGGGAAACCCUGAUCCAGCCAUCCCGCGUGUGCGAUGAAGGCCUUCGGGUUGUAAAGCACUUUUGUCAGGAAAGAAAUCGCCCGGGAUAAUACUCGGGUGGAUGACGGUACCGAAGA